rnacentral:lncRNA from 1 species
UUUCCAACCUGCAGUGAAGUAUCCAGAGAUAAAACAGGGUGUGCCAAAAGGAGGGACACGCUGCCUGCCACAACCUGGGUGUGCUGUGGCCAUCCACAGCAGGAGCAGAGGGUAAUACCAUUAAAAUGAACCAAGGAGAAGGAGGAGGAGGAGGAAGAGGAGAAGGCAGGAGGGGGAAGAGGAGAAGGAGAC